GCCAGGGUAUGAUGGUGUGCCGAUAGUCCCAGCUACUCAGGAGGCUGACAGGAAGAUCACUUGGGUCCAAGAGCUCUGGGCUGUAGUGCCCUAUGCCAACCAGUUGUCCACACUAAGUUUUGCAUCAAUAUGGUGACCUCCUAGGAGCAGGGCACCACCAGGUUUCCCUAGUAGGAGUGAACCAUCCCCCAUUGGAAAUGGAGCAGGUCAAAAUUCCUGUGUUGAUCAGUAGUGGGAUUGCACCUGUGAAUAACCGCUGCACUCCAGCCUGAGCAACAUAGUGAGAUCUUGUCUCU
rnacentral:SRP_RNA from 1 species